AUUGAACGCUGGCGGCAUGCCUUACACAUGCAAGUCGAACGGCAGCACGGGAGCAGUCCUGGUGGCGAGUGGUGAACGGGUGAGUAAUAUAUCGGAACGUGCCCAGUAGUGGGGGAUAACUGCUCGAAAGAGCAGCUAAUACCGCAUACGACCUGAGGGUGAAAGGGGGGGAUCGCAAGACCUCUCGCUAUUGGAGCGGCCGAUAUCAGAUUAGCUAGUUGGUGGGGUAAAGGCCUACCAAGGCAACGAUCUGUAGUUGGUCUGAGAGGACGACCAGCCACACUGGGACUGAGACACGGCCCAGACUCCUACGGGAGGCAGCAGUGGGGAAUUUUGGACAAUGGGCGCAAGCCUGAUCCAGCAAUGCCGCGUGCAGGAAGAAAGCCUUCGGGUUGUAAACUGCUUUUGUCAGGGAAGAAAUCCUCUAGGUUAAUACCCUUGGGGGGAUGACGGUACCUGAAGAAUAAGCACCGGCUAACUACGUGCCAGCCGCCGCCGUAAUAC
rnacentral:rRNA from 1 species